AUAAUUACCUAGCGUAGGGGAUACCGUGAUCAUGAAGGCGGUUCCUCCGGGAUGAGGCUCUUCCAUUGCACUUUGGUCGAGCUGACCCCCGCGCUUACUCCAAAUGUAACUCGGGCGCACAAUUUUUAGCAGUCGGGACUGCGUUCGCGCUGUCCCGGU